rnacentral:rRNA from 1 species
GAUGAACGCUGGCGGCGUGCUUAACACAUGCAAGUCGAACGAAGCGGGGACGGGGGAGUAACACGUGGAUAACCUCCUAUAAGACUGGGAUAACUUCGGGAAACCGGAGCCAAACCGGAUACUUACAGAUGGAUCCGCGUUGCAUUAGCUAGUUGGUAAGGCAACGGCUUACCAAGGCAACGAUGCAUAGCCGACCUGAGAGGGUGAUCAGCCACACUGGAACUGAGACACGGUCCAGACUCCUACGGGAGGCAGCAGUAGGGAAUCUUCCGCAAUGGGCGAAAGCCUGACGGAGCAACGCCGCGUGAAUGAUGAAGGUCUUCGGAUCGUAAAACUCUGUUAUUAGGGAAGCGGUACCUAAUCAGAAAGCCACGGCUAACUACGUGCCAGCAGCCGCGGUAAUAC